rnacentral:rRNA from 1 species
ACGAAGGGUGCAAGCGUUACUCGGAAUUACUGGGCGUAAAGCGUGCGUAGGUGGUUCGUUAAGUCUGUCGUGAAAUCCCCGGGCUCAACCCGGGAACUGCGUCCGAUACUGGAAGGCUUGAGUCCGGGAGAGGGAUGCGGAAUUCCAGGUGUAGCGGUGAAAUGCGUAGAUAUCUGGAGGAACACCGGUGGCGAAGGCGGCAUCCUGGACCGGUAUUGACGCUGAGGCGCGAAAGCCAGGGGAGCAAACGGGA